rnacentral:ncRNA from 1 species
AGCGAUACAUCCGCUGGCCCCGGAUGAUCCAGUGUCGCCUGACGGGACAAGUAAAUACGAACAGCUGCCUACUGGAUAAGGAAGCUGCAGACCCGAACGGAGAAAACCUCCGUCAGGACUGCGGUUAGGUUUCUAUUGCCUUUUUGCAGCUGAC